GUGGGGAAUAUUGGACAAUGGGCGCAAGCCUGAUCCAGCAAUGCCGCGUGCAGGAAGAAGGCCUUCGGGUUGUAAACUGCUUUUGUACGGAACGAAACGGUCCUGGUUAAUACCUGGGGCUAAUGACGGUACCGUAAGAAUAAGCACCGGCUAACUACGUGCCAGCAGCCGCGGUAAUACGUAGGGUGCGAGCGUUAAUCGGAAUUACUGGGCGUAAAGCGUGCGCAGGCGGUUUUGUAAGACAGGCGUGAAAUCCCCGGGCUCAACCUGGGAAUUGCGCUUGUGACUGCAAGGCUGGAGUGCGGCAGAGGGGGAUGGAAUUCCGCGUGUAGCAGUGAAAUGCGUAGAUAUGCGGAGGAACACCGAUGGCGAAGGCAAUCCCCUGGGCCUGCACUGACGCUCAUGCACGAAAGCGUGGGGAGCAAACAGGAUUAGAUACCCUGGUAGUCC
rnacentral:rRNA from 1 species